ensembl:ncRNA F45E4.16 ncRNA
UGAUUGUUUGUUCAAUAAUUAGUCCCUCUUUUCCCCCUCGUCCUUGGCCCGCAAGAUUAGCGGCUCUUCGCCACUGACACGUGUGUCAAUGUUUGCGGUACUGACCAGUCUCCGCCUACUUUUGAGAAGUGAUACUAAAAGGG